rnacentral:rRNA from 1 species
AGAGUUUGAUCAUGGCUCAGAAUGAACGCUGGCGGCGUGCCUAACACAUGCAAGUCGGAUGUGCCGCAAGGUGCAUGGCAGACGGGUGAGUAACGCGUGGGGAAUCUACCUCUUUGUGGGGAAUAACGCUCCGAAAGGAGUGGUAAUACCGCAUGAGAUCCAUGGCUGGGAUGCUGUGGAUGAAACCUGGGGAUCGCAAGACCUGGGGCAAGGAGAGGAUCCUGCGUCUGAUUAGCUAGUUGGUGAGGUAACGGCCCACCAAGGCAACGAUCAGUAGCCGGCCUGAGAGGGUGAUCGGCCACACUGGAACUGAGACACGGUCCAGACUCCUACGGGAGGCAGCAGUGGGGAAUUUUGCGCAAUGGGCGAAAGCCUGACGCAGCAACGCCGCGUGGGUGAUGAAGGUCUUCGGAUCGUAAAACCCUGUCGUCGGGGACGAAGGUUUGGGCGUUAAUAGCGUUUAAGCUUGACGGUACCCGGAGAGGAAGCCCCGGCUAACUCUGUGCCAGCAGCCGCGGUAAUACAGAGGGGGCAAGCGUUAUUCGGAAUUAUUG